rnacentral:rRNA from 1 species
UACAGAGGCCCCAAGCGUUAGGCGGAAUCACUGGGCUUAAAGCGUGUGUAGGCGGGAUGGUAAGUACCUUGUGAAAUCCCACGGCUCAACCGUGGAACUGCUGGGUAUACUGGUUGUCUUGAGCCAGCUAGGGGCGAGCGGAACAGACGGUGGAGCGGUGAAAUGCGUAGAUAUCGUCUGGAACGCCGAAGGUGAAAACAGCUCGCUGGGGCUGCGCUGACGCUGAGACACGAAAGCCAGGGGAGCGAACGGG